rnacentral:tRNA from 1 species
GGCCGGUUGGCUCAGUGGUUAGAGCACACGGUUCACAUCCGUGGGGUCAGAGGUUCAAAUCCUCUACCGGCCA